rnacentral:rRNA from 1 species
UACGUAGGGUGCAAGCGUUAAUCGGAAUUACUGGGCGUAAAGCGCGCGCAGGCGGUUUUGUAAGUCUGUCGUGAAAUCCCCGGGCUCAACCUGGGAAUUGCGAUGGAGACUGCAAGGCUAGAAUCUGGCAGAGGGGGGGUAGAAUUCCACGUGUAGCAGUGAAAAUGCGUAGAGAUGUGGAGGAACACCGAUGGCGAAGGCAGCCCCCUGG